rnacentral:lncRNA from 1 species
GCCCUCGUGCCUCACCUGCUGCCCCUGCCCCAGCGUGGGGAUGCAUCCCAGGACACAGACAGAGGCUCCAUGAGGACCCAGAUGUGGGGAAGUGGGUGAGGACGGUCCUCACAGAACCAGGGCCCCAGACUCAGACCUUUCAGAAGACAGAAGGUGGGCCUCUCCCUCCUGGGAACAGGAGCUGGAGCCCUCUGCAGGCCGCUGGCCACCUAGCCUUGUACACUCCCAGGCUGGGCCCUGCAGGUCUGUCCCGGGAGCCCACCCACAUCUGCAGAAAGAGCAGGUCACAGGCUGCUUGUGGUCAGGGCAGACCAGACCAGGAGAAAACCCAGGAGCUGAGAGAGGCGGUGCCUGGCCACACACAGACCUCAGAGGCCACCAGGGGCACAAAUGUCACCCCAGGACCUUAGUAUUAAACAGAACAUCAACAAAAAGGCAAAGUUGGCCGGCCCCUUUCCCUUUUUAACCCUGGCUAAGAGCAGCACCCCCUGAGUUUCUUCCUGCGACAACAGAAGCUUGUUGGCCGAAGUGCAAACUUCAGGGGCCGCAACAGGCCCACCAGGGCUGGGUAGCAGGCAUAGAGCACGGGCCACGGGGUGCCACCAGCAGGUAUGGAGCACGGGCUACCGGAAGCCACCAGCAGGCAUGGCACACAGGCCACCAGGAACCACCAGCAGGCGUGGAGCACAGGCCACCAGGGGCUACCAGCAGGCGUGGAGCACAGGCCACUGGGGGCCAUCUGAGCACCAGCCUGGUGAAGGCCCGCAUCCACCACCCCACGAGUCGCCUUCUUGGCCUCCACCCUCCACCCUGAGGACACUUGGAAUGCUCAGCCUCGUACAGGCAAGGUCAGCGGAGCAAAGUGCCAGCCCAGGAUGCCAGCCCAGGACGCCGAAUCAGGCCCUCUGAGCAAGUCCUCCUCGGCCAGUGAGGAUCAAGUCGCCUGGUCCCUAAGAGAUGGGCUCCAACGAGAGCAGUGUUUCCACCCACUCACAGGCCCAAGGGUCUGUGUCUCAGCUUGUGACCUCCCAGGAGCCAGGAGAUGGCUGGGCAGGGGUCUCGUAAAGGCACACUGAGGGAAAGGGUAGGGCAAGGACCAAGGACAGACCCAGGCCUCAGAGCUACAAAGGAGAAGCGGAGAACAUCCGCCUGAGCCAGUGAGGCCUGGGGGUGAUCCACCUCUGCACAGGCAAGCGAGGUCUGCAGACCCCCAGUGUACCACAUGGUGGGCAAGGACAGGCAGCUGCCUGUGAGCAGCUGGAAGAGGAUCAGACCCACAGGGAAGUGAACAAGCACUAGAGUGAGGCCUGGGACCUGGCUUAGCACACAUACAAACUCACACACCACACAUGCAGACGCACAUACACACACACACAAACAUAUGCAAACACAGAGACACACGAACACCACACACAGGCACACACACACACCACACACAUCACACAUGCAGACACCCUCAUACACAGAAAUACACAGAUACAAACACAAACACAUGCAGACACACAAACACAGGCAUACACACACACAUACACACAGGUGUGCAAGCGCAGAGUGCUGUGUGACCAGGAUGCUAUUAAUAUUACAAUUUUUAAAAAUAAAGUAGAUCUUUACAUACUGACAUGGUAAGACACCAAAAAUAUAUUGUUAAGUGAAGAACAUCAUGUUUUAGAAGAAUGCGUAUGGUACAAUUCCUUUUGGUGGAAAACCCAAAACAAAAUAUGUGUGCGUAUGUGCAUGUGUUUCUAUGUCCAUAUCUAUGCACAUGCAUGUAUGUGCACCCAUGUGUAUAUGUGUGCACUGUGUGUGUGUGCUUGUAUGCCCGUUUGUGUGUGCACGUGUAUGCAGGCAGACGUACAUUGCCAUGUGUAUGCAUGCGUAUGCGUGUCCAUGUCUGUGUGCAUCUGUCUAUGCGUCUGCCCACGAGUGUGUCAUGUGUGCGUGGUUCAGUCCACCACACUCACCUUGCCCCUGGGGGGCCCCAGUGGUGAGAAUGGGGUGGAGGGCUGUGUGUUCAAGUGGCACAGGUGCAACAGCUGCAUUAGCUCACUUGCCAACCAGAUGAGGCCAUGCUGGCUACUGGAUUCAUCUGAGCCAACUGUGACCCCAGCUUCCCCAAACUGAGUCAACUCCAAAGAAGUUUAAAGCUAAUUUAGUGCCCAAAGCCCAAUAACUAGAAAGAUAAUAGAAAUUUCAAACACAGAGGUGAGUGGGUGUGGCAGUGAUGAGACACUGCAGUGACUGACUGUCAACUUGAUUGGACUGAAGGAUGCAAAGUAUUGAUCCUGGAUGUGUCUGUGAGGAUGUUGCCAAAGGAGAUUAACAUUUGAGUCAGUGGGCUGGGAAAGGCAGACCCACCCUUAAUCUGUGUGGGCACCAUCUAAUCAGCUGCCAGUGUGUGGCUGGAAUAUAAAGCAGGGAGACAAACCUGAAAAGACUAGACUUGGCCUAGCCUCCCAGCCUACAUCUUUCUCCCGUGCUGGAUCCUUCCUGCCCUCGAACACUGGACUCCACAUUCUUCAGUUUUAGGACUCGGAUGGCUUUCCUUGCUCCUCAGCUUGCAGAUGGCCUAUUGUGGGACCUUGUGAUCGUGUGAGUUAACACUUAAUAAACAUAUACAUAUCUAUUAGUUCUGUCCCUCUAGAGAAC